GAUGAAGAACGUAGCGAAAUGCGAUAAGUAAUGUGAAUUGCAGAAUUCAGUGAAUCAUCGAAUCUUUGAACGCACAUUGCGCCCAUUAGUAUUCUAGUGGGCAUGCCUGUUCGAGCGUCAUUAAUUCCACUUAAGCCCUUCUUAGUGUUGGGAAUCUACUCUAGUGGUGCUACCCUGGAGCUACCCCUGAAAGGGGGCUGGCCCGGUAGCUACCCUGUAGUUCCUCAAAGAUAGUGCGCGGAGUUGCGUGGUCCUCUGAGCUUAGUAACUAUACACCUAGCUUUUGAGUGUCCCGCGGCGCCUGCCGUUUAAACCCCAUCUUUUAAUGGUUGACCUCGGAUCAGGUAGGAAUACCCGCUGAACUUAAGCAUAUCAAUAAGCGGAGGA
rnacentral:misc_RNA from 1 species